rnacentral:rRNA from 1 species
AUUGAACGCUGGCGGCAGGCCUAACACAUGCAAGUCGAGCGGAUGAAGGGAGCUUGCUUCUGGAUUCAGCGGCGGACGGGGGAGUAAUGCCUAGGAAUCUCCUUGGUAGGGGGGGAUAACGUCCGGAGACGGGCGCUAAUACCGCCGACUACGUGAGGCUGCAGCAGGGGGGGCUUCGGACCGCACGCUAGCAUGUGAGCUUAGGCCGGAUUAGUUAGUUGGUGGGGUAAAGGCCUACCUAGCCGACGAUCGGUAAGUGGUCUGCGAGGAUGAUAAGCCGCACUGGAGGUGAGCCACGGUCCAGACUACUGCGAGAGGGACCAGUGGGCAAUAUUGGACAGCAGUGGAAAGCCUGAUCCAGCCAUGCCGCGUCUGUGAAGACGGCCUUCGGAUUGUGAAGAACUUUAAGGUGGGAGGAAGGGCAGUAAGUUGAUACCUUGCUGUUUUGACGUUACCAACAGAAUAAGCACCGGCUAACUACGUG